GACGAACGCUGGCGGCGUGCUUAACACAUGCAAGUCGAACGGAAAGGCCCUGCUUUUGUGGGGUGCUCGAGUGGCGAACGGGUGAGUAACACGUGAGUAACCUGCCCUUGACUUUGGGAUAACUUCAGGAAACUGGGGCUAAUACCGGAUAGGAGCUCCUGCUGCAUGGUGGGGGUUGGAAAGUUUCGGCGGUUGGGGAUGGACUCGCGGCUUAUCAGCUUGUUGGUGGGGUAGUGGCUUACCAAGGCUUUGACGGGUAGCCGGCCUGAGAGGGUGACCGGCCACCUUGGGACUGAGAUACGGCCCAGACUCCUACGGGAGGCAGCAGUGGGGGAUAUUGCACAAUGGGCGGAAGCCUGAUGCGGCAACGCCGCGUGCGGGAUGACGGCCUUCGGGUUGUAAACCGCUUUCGCCUGUGACGAAGCGUGAGUGACGGUAAUGGGUAAAGAAGCACCGGCUAACUACGUG
rnacentral:rRNA from 1 species